rnacentral:tRNA from 1 species
UCCUGGGUAGCUUAGCUGGUAAAAAAUUUGCCUGCAAUGCAGGAGACCCUGGUUCAAUUCCUGGGUCAGGAA